UUAACCUCUCAAACUCUCCCCCCGUGCUUGCCAAGCUCCCACCGCCUGGGAUCCCCUGACUGUGGCAAAUGAUAGUGGAUAGGGGAACCUGCAGGGCCCCACAGGCAUCCCUUUGUAUCAGGCUGCUCUGCCUAUGCAGGGGUGAAAUAGCUCUAAACUCACCCUAGGAGCAAAAGUGAGCAGAGCUAGAUGGAGAAGGAGGGUGGGCUGCUUUUGGUGUGGAAGAAUUCACCAGCAUUCAAUUUUGGUGUUGAAGAAUGCUGAGACCAGCCAGACUCAUCAAUCCCAUAGUUAACAUCACAGGAGCAAAAGAGCUUUGCCCAUGAUCCUUGCUAUGGAUUACACAGGAUGGCUCUGUCAGCUGCCUCUGUCAUCACCUCACAUGCAGAUGCUGACGUGACACAGCUCAGCAACUCUACAUCACACAGAGACAUCCGCCUGCUCUGAUCAAAGGCCCGGGAGAAUCAGCACAGACUGCCAUGGUACCCAGGGGACAUGGAAGUGAUGGAAGCACAUCAUCCUGAGGUUUCAGCCCACACUGUCUGUGCUUUAUUUUUCUCAGAAUGAAAUAAAACAGCACAAGAUUUCAAAAACUGGUUCAUAUUUUAUUAUUUUGCAUGGGUCUGACUUUGAUGAAGAUGUUAAAGUACCAACACACUAAUUAAAGAUGACAAAACAGUAACAAAUAUCAGUGGAUCCAGCUUGAGCAAACAGCAGCAGGAAGAAUGCUGAGGUCGUAAGAAUUAACAGAUGAUUAAAGAUGCAUUGGGCUACGCCUUAGUCAUGGACUGAAAAUGUCAUUAAAAAAAAAAUCAUCAAACCCUCUAUAAAUAACUUCAUGAUUAUUUCUCAGGGAAAUUGUCGGGUGUUUCAACACUACUCAAUUGUUCCUUUUCCUUCCUCAGCAGAAGACUGAAAUAUUUACUAAAUUAUUUAAAUGUUAUUUUAUAGACCACUAUCUAUAGAAAAAGUAAUGUUUUCAGCAUACACCUCUCAGGGAAUAGCAACAAAAUUUUAAUCUGAUUUAAAAUUAACUACUUUUGAAACAACAAAACAAUGAGCAAAAAACUCACAAGGACAGGUUCUAAAAUGAAGUAAAAUUCUGAUCAAAAUGGGGGAUAACCACUGCUUUUAUCCUUAUACAACCAAACCCAGAAUUUAGCACAGGGUAUUUGAUUCUGCCAUCAAAACAUGACUUGAUUCUUUAUAUUACAGAACUAAAA